GGAGACCCUUGACCCUUCCUAAGACUUUGAUAGCCAGGGAGUUUGCAGACUAGACAAGCAUUGGUAUUAUGGAUGAUUAGACAUGUAUCUGCCUUAGUGAGAUUAGUGCAUGUUGGUGGAGCACUAGCCUGGGGGUAAAUCCCGGGAACAUUGUACAAGUGACCCGCUCUUUCCUAUUAUUUGCUGUGGGUUAAUGUUUGUUCAGUGAUCUCCGAGGAGGGGUGGAUAUUCACCUGGUAGCCUUCUUUCCAAGGAGGGGUGCAUACCUUUUGCAGACCCCAGACCUAUUAUCAUAUGGAGACCGAGGUCUCAAGGGAGCGGGCUACAUCCUCCAGCCCUGGUGCUUUGAGCAUCUGGAGAUUACAGCUCCCAGACUAAGGGAUCCUCGCGCAUUGCCUUUUCCCAUAGUCACGAGAUGGGGAAAUAGUCGGGCACUUAGGGGCCGGUGCUAUCCUCCAGGGACCACUGCUCGUUCUCUUCUGAACGGUCUUACAGAGGUCACUUGGAGGCUGUUCCAACCUCUCACAUUCCCAAACCCUGAUGAAGUCUCUUUGGCUAGAUAUCUAUUUGAGUAUCGGAUCCUAUUCAGGGGCAUAUGGGGCCAUGCCUAGUACUUGGGGAGAGAGUUGUACCCCAGGGGUCUAAUUUCGAGGCAUGCCUCUCUCCCUAUCUCCCUCCUCCCACUAUGCAUUGUCCAGAGUGCAUUCCUGUGGACCAGAUUGAGAGGUCGGCUGAUGGAGUAUGGGAUGAUUCAUUCCUUGAUCUAGAUAGGGACUACAAAACCUUCCUUAAGGAGGAGACAGUAUGCACCCCUCUAGGCCUUGAUGGCCUAGUGGGGAGAACAUGACGUGUAGAUCUUUCUACAGUUUAGUCACACGUCAGUGCUGCUGGUCCAUCACAAACUGGACUCUCUACUAGUGCGGGUGGGUCUCUCAGGAUAGCCACCAUCCCCUUCUAUGGCUUCCCUGGUUGGUGCUAUCCUAACGUGGCCAAUCCUAGCCUCCCUCAUCUCCUGGAGUGGAGAACAGAUGUAGAUGCUUCCCUUAGGCUGCCGAUUCCUUAUGACUAUGUAAGUAUCUGACCAUCCCUCAAUUGGCUUUCGACCUCCUUUGAUUGAUAUGCUCUUCCUAAGGUGUCUCGGAGGUCUAUUAUGAGAUCAGGAAGAUGCGUCAUGGCUUGUGUGAGGCGAUGAUCGCCAAGGAUGGAAGGAUUGUCACCUGGAGAGCCAAGUUAGCUCCUACCAGCAGGAGAAUGCCCAACAGCAUGCACUGAUUCAAGAUUUAACCCAGAGGCUAGAGAAUACUAGACUGGCAUCCCUGAGCUCCUCGUCAUUCCAUGAGGGUGACUCAGAGUACGGUUCAGAUGAUGACUUUGGU